rnacentral:sRNA from 1 species
CAAGGGGACUCCGUGCAACCAUGCCCCAUCUGUAAAGAAGAAUUCGAGCUUCGUCCUCAGGUGCUGCUUUCAUGCUCCCAUGUGUUCCACAAAGCAUGUCUUCAGGCUUUUGAAAAGUUCACAAAUAAGAAAACCUGUCCUCUCUGUAGAAAGAACCAGUAUCAAACCCGAGUGAUACACGAUGGGGCCCGCCUGUUCAGAAUCAAGUGUGUGACCAGAAUCCAAGCCUACUGGAGAGGAUAUGUUGUUAGAAAGUGGUACAGAAACCUGAGGAAAACAGUACCUCCCACAGAUGCCAAGUUAAGAAAAAAAUUCUUUGAAAAAAAGACACAAGACUGGAAACCAGCUUAAUUUUUCCCAUCUCCUGGGCUAUAUGUAAAUGAAGACAUCUGCUGCACAUCUCAUAGUAAUGAAAAUAGAAGCUGCCUAUAAAAAUAAAGCCCCCACAUGCUACCA